rnacentral:rRNA from 1 species
AUUGAACGCUGGCGGCAGGCCUAACACAUGCAAGUCGAACGAGUGGCGGACGGGUGAGUAAUGUCUGGGAAACUGCCCGAUGGCGGGGGAUCACUACUGGAAACGGUAGCUAAUACCGCAUACCAUCGGAUGUGCCCAGGUGGGAUUAGCUAGUAGGUGGGGUAACGGCUCCCCUAGGCGACGAUCCCUAGCUGGUCUGAGAGGAUGACCGACGACCAUGGAACUGAGACACGGUCCAGAAUCCUACGGGAGGCAGCAGUGGGGAAUAUGGCACAUCGGGGGAAACCCUGUGGCAGCAACGCCGCGGGCGUGAUGACGUCCUUCGGGUUGUAAACCGCUUUCAGCCAUGACGCGGUAGUGGCAGAAGAAGCACCGGCUAACUACGUGCCAGCAGCCGCGGUAAUUC